CCUACGGGGGGCAGCAGUGGGGAAUAUUGGGCAAUGGGCGCAAGCCUGACCCAGCAACGCCGCGUGAAGGAAGAAGGCUUUCGGGUUGUAAACUUCUUUUGACAGGGAAGAGCAGAAGACGGUACCUGUCGAAUAAGCCACGGCUAACUACGUGCCAGCAGCCGCGGUAAUACGUAGGUGGCAAGCGUUGUCCGGAUUUACUGGGUGUAAAGGGCGUGUAGCCGGGCUGACAAGUCAGAUGUGAAAUCCGGGGGCCCAACCCCCGGACUGCUCUGGAAACUGUGUAACUGGAGUGCAGGAGAGGCAGGCGGAAUUCCUAGUGUAGCGGUGAAAUGCGUAGAUAUUAGGAGGAACACCAGUGGCGAAGGCGGCCUGCUGGACUGUAACUGACGUUGAGGCUCGAAAGCGUGGGGAGCAAACAGGAUUAGAUACCCCAGUAGUC
rnacentral:rRNA from 1 species